rnacentral:sRNA from 2 species
CUGCUUGUCUUUGGGGAGUAGCCGGCUUCCAUCCGGAAGCAGUUGCGUCAACAUUCUCGGUCGGCCAGACCGUGGCGCAGCUACCCUGCUUUAGGUUGGCGAGACCAUCGACACAUCGCCGCAACCGGUCGAGUGCAGCGAUGUGUCGUGGUUUAUUGCCCGACCUAG